rnacentral:rRNA from 1 species
CUACGGGAGGCAGCAGUGAGGAAUAUUGGACAAUGGGCGCAAGCCUGAUCCAGCCAUGCCGCGUGCAGGAUGACGGUCCUAUGGAUUGUAAACUGCUUUUGCACAGGAAGAAACAACAUUACGUGUAAUGUCUGACGUACUGAGAAAAGAUCAUCGG